rnacentral:rRNA from 1 species
AUGAACCCGGACAACUUCACGCACAAGACCAACGAGGCGCUGGUGGCGGCGCACGAGGCGGCGUCGGAGGCCGGCCACGCGCAGAUCACGCCGUUGCACCUGGCGGCGGCGCUGGCGGCGGACAAGUCGGGCAUCCUGCGGCAGGCCGUCGCGGGGGCGUCCGGCGGGAAUGCGUCCGCGGGGGACUCGUUCGAGCGCGUGCUCGCCGGCGCGCUCAGGAAGCUGCCGUCGCAGUCGCCGCCGCCGGACUCCGUGCCGGCCUCCACGGCGCUCAUCAAGGCCAUCCGCCGCGCGCAGUCGGCGCAGAAGAAGCGCGGGGACUCGCACCUCGCCGUCGACCAGCUGCUCAUGGGCCUCCUCGAGGACGCGCAGAUCGCCGACUGCCUCAAGGAGGCCGGCGUGUCCGCCUCGCGGGUGCGCGCCGAGCUCGACAAGCUCCGCGGCGGGGACAACUCGCGCAAGGUCGAGUCCGCCUCCGGCGACACCACCUUCCAGGCGCUCAAGACGUACGGCCGCGACCUCGUCGAGGUGGCCGGCAAGCUAGACCCCGUCAUCGGCCGCGACGAGGAGAUCCGCCGCGUCGUGCGCAUCCUCUCGCGCCGCACCAAGAACAACCCCGUCCUCAUCGGCGAGCCCGGCGUCGGCAAGACGGCCGUCGUCGAGGGCCUCGCGCAGCGCGUCGUGCGCGGGGACGUGCCCAGCAACCUGCUCGACGUCCGCCUCGUCGCGCUCGACAUGGGCGCGCUCGUCGCCGGCGCCAAGUACCGCGGCGAGUUCGAGGAGCGGCUCAAGGCCGUGCUCAAGGAGGUGGAGGAGGCCGACGGCAAGGUCAUCCUCUUCAUCGACGAGAUACACCUCGUCCUCGGCGCCGGGAGGACGGAGGGGUCCAUGGACGCGGCCAACCUCUUCAAGCCCAUGCUCGCCAGGGGCCAGCUCCGGUGCAUCGGCGCCACCACGCUGGAGGAGUACCGCAAGUACGUCGAGAAGGACGCCGCGUUCGAGCGGCGGUUCCAGCAGGUGUACGUGGCCGAGCCGAGCGUCGCCGACACCAUCAGCAUCCUGCGAGGGCUCAAGGAGAAGUACGAGGGGCACCACGGCGUGCGCAUCCAGGACCGCGCCAUCGUCGUCGCGGCGCAGCUCUCGGCGAGGUACAUCAUGGGCCGCCACCUGCCGGACAAGGCCAUCGACCUGGUGGACGAGGCGUGCGCCAACGUGAGGGUGCAGCUGGACAGCCAGCCGGAGGAGAUCGACAAUCUGGAGCGGAAGCGGAUUCAGCUGGAGGUGGAGCUGCACGCGCUGGAGAAGGAGAAGGACAAGGCCAGCAAGGCCCGGCUGGUGGAGGUGAGGAAGGAGCUGGACGACCUGAGGGACAAGCUGCAGCCGCUGACCAUGAAGUACAGGAAGGAGAAGGAGCGGAUCGACGAGAUCCGGAAGCUGAAGCAGCGGCGGGAGGAGCUGCAGUUCACGCUGCAGGAGGCCGAGCGGCGCAUGGACCUGGCACGCGUCGCCGACCUCAAGUACGGCGCCCUCCAGGAGAUCGACGUCGCCAUUGCGAAGCUGGAGGGCGAGACCGGCGAGAACCUGAUGCUCACCGAGACCGUCGGCCCCGAGCAGAUCGCGGAGGUGGUGAGCCGGUGGACCGGCAUCCCGGUGACCCGGCUCGGGCAGAACGACAAGGAGCGCCUGGUCGGCAUGGCGGACAGGCUGCACACGAGGGUGGUCGGGCAGACGGAGGCCGUGAACGCCGUCGCCGAGGCGGUGCUGAGGUCCAGGGCGGGGCUUGGGCGGCCGCAGCAGCCCACCGGGUCGUUCCUCUUCCUGGGCCCGACCGGCGUGGGCAAGACAGAGCUCGCCAAGGCCCUCGCCGAGCAGCUGUUCGACGACGAGAACCUGCUCGUCCGCAUCGACAUGUCCGAGUACAUGGAGCAGCACUCCGUCGCUCGCCUCAUCGGCGCGCCACCAGGCUAUGUCGGACACGAGGAGGGCGGGCAGCUGACGGAGCAGGUGAGGAGGAGGCCGUACAGCGUGAUCCUGUUCGACGAGGUGGAGAAGGCGCACGUGGCGGUGUUCAACACGCUCCUCCAGGUGCUGGACGACGGCCGGCUGACCGACGGGCAAGGCCGGACGGUGGACUUCCGGAACACCGUGAUCAUCAUGACCUCCAACCUCGGCGCCGAGCACCUCCUCGCCGGGAUGGUGGGCAAGAACUCCAUGAAGGUCGCCCGCGACCUCGUCAUGCAGGAGGUGAGGAGGCACUUCAGGCCGGAGCUGCUGAACCGGCUGGACGAGAUGGUGAUCUUCGACCCGCUGUCCCACGAGCAGCUGAGGAAGGUCGCUCGCCUGCAGAUGAAGGACGUGGCCGUCCGGCUCGCCGAGCGCGGCGUCGCACUGGCCGUCACCGACGCCGCGCUGGACGUCAUCCUGUCGCUGGCCUACGAUCCAGUGUAUGGCGCUCGGCCGAUCAGGAGGUGGAUCGAGAAGAGGGUGGUGACGCAGCUGUCCAAGAUGCUGAUCCAGGAGGAGAUCGACGAGAACUGCACUGUGUACAUCGACGCCGCCGACAAGGACGAGCUGGCCUACCGGGUGGACCGCAGCGGCGGGCUGGUGAACGCCGAGACGGGGCAGAGGUCCGACAUCCUCAUCCAGGUGCCCAACGGCGCCCUCGGCGGCGGCGGCGGCGGCGAGGCGGCCAAGGCCGUGAAGAAGAUGAGGGUCAUGGAGGACGGGGACGAGGACGGCAUGGACGAGGAUGCUUGA